rnacentral:misc_RNA from 1 species
AGAGUUAAAUAGUACGUGAAAUUGUUGAAAGGGAAACGAUUGAAGUCAGUCAUGCUAAUAGGGAAUCAACUUGAUGGUUUGUUCCCCCGGGAGCAAUCUUUCUUGUGCACUUUCUUAUUCGGCAGGUUAGCAUCAAUUUCGGUUGUCAUCAAAAAAUUGGGGGAAUGUGACUUCUUUCGGGAAGUGUUAUAGACCUUGAUAUAUGUGAUAAUCGGGAUUGAGGAUUGCAGCGGAUGCUUUUGGGCUAGUCAUCUACCUUCUGACGGUUACCUCGCUUUCGAUAGCUUGCUAACGAUUGUGGGAUUCAACAGUCUAGAUGUUGGAGUGAUCUUAUAUUCGCUAAGGAUGCUGACGUAAUGGCUUUAAACGA